rnacentral:rRNA from 1 species
UACGUAGGGUGCAAGCGUUGUCCGGAAUUAUUGGGCGUAAAGAGCUCGUAGGCGGUUUGUCGCGUCUGCUGUGAAAACCCGAGGCUCAACCUCGGGCCUGCAGUGGGUACGGGCAGACUAGAGUGCGGUAGGGGAGAUUGGAAUUCCUGGUGUAGCGGUGGAAUGCGCAGAUAUCAGGAGGAACACCGGCGGCGAAGGCGGGUCUCUGGGCCAUAACUGACGCUGAGGAGCGAAAGCGUGGGGAGCGAACAGG